rnacentral:miRNA from 1 species
UUGUGUAUGGUUGGGCCCAUC